AAAGCCAAUGCAUGAUGCAUGAGUCACAACUCACAAGUCACAGCUUCAAAUGUUAUCAAUGAGUUCAUCGAAACAUAGAGUUGGGUAUGCUAAAAACAGAGAAAACAGGUUUGACACAGCAAGGGGGAACGCAAACAAUGAAUUAGGCACACCAAGUUUUGAGAUGAAGACGAUUAGUUUGAAAGCGACAGGUUUUAGGCAAGCUGGCUUCCAAGCAGGAGGUCAGCUUGGACACAAUGAACCAUACAGACAGAGUACAUCGACGCAGGUGGUAAACUGCUCAAACCAAACACUUCCAGUUUUCACCACAUGGAUAACAGAGAUACAGGCCAAUUCAUCGCUCGUUCAUUAAGCAGGCACCAUCAUUAACAUCACUUUCCGCCAAACAAGUAGCCCAGGGACGAGCCACCGCCAGGAGCAGCAUGAACCUUGGUUGAAGGACGGUCCUGCGAGGGUUUAAACAGAGUCAUCAGCCAUUUCUCAGCCCACAUGGUAAACAAAAUCAGAGCCCCACAAUGACGUCUGAAUAUCUUUUCAAUACUCAAAAAUCAGAACAUUCAAGUAGGCGAAAUAACAAGAAGCUUUAACCCAUUUGCAUGGCAUUACAUUUCAGGGGGAAAAUGAACCGUUACAUUCUUGUUAUACUAUUGACUGUAGUGACAAAUAACAGAAAACGAGAUAAAUUCUUGGUAGCUUAACAUGAAUCCACAUAGGAAGUAGUUGCAAAAACUGUACUGGGCAGAAGAUUGUUCUAGCAAAAAAAAUUAAUGAUGGAUGCUGACAGUUAUUAAACUUAUGUCAAUGGAAACUUCUGACAUGCCUCAGAUGAAAUUUUAAUGGGGAAUAGCUGGAUCAAAUUAGGUUCAUUACAAGGCCAAAAACCAUACCGUAAGGAAGUUGCCCGUGUUCUGGCCAUCUGCACGGUAAUAGUUGUUCGCCCGGCUACCUGGAAUGCCAGCUGGAAUCUGCUUGGCUACAUCAGCAGCUGCCGGUGCUGGUUUCUCAGCAGGUGCGGGCUUCGCAGCUGGUGCUGCAGCAGGCUUUGCAGGCUCGCCAUCUCCAAACAGGUAACCCAGAGAACUUUGACCACCACCAGCACUCCCGCCACGACUCAUCUUGACUGUAAGAUAAAUACAUAAAUUGCAACAUAUGAGUGGACAAGUUCAGCGUGAUUGUCAGAGUGCAAUACAUUUUGGAAACAGCAAAUGAAAUCAUCAGGGAUAAAAGCUUCCGGAAAAAUUAAGAUCUCAAAGAUAAACUACAUAAGGCAAGUGAAUCUUGAAAUCAUAUGCCCAUACCGGAUAUAUUUCGACCACUAGUUACUACAAAAAUGUUGAUAUAGUGGCAUUUGAAGAAAUAUCAUGGUAAUUUAGGAGAAGACAGAAAAAAAGCAUGCAUGCUAAACCAAGUCUUCAGAUAAGAAUGCUUGGUAAGAUUAAGUAUCAGUGCUGCUUAGACUGAAUGAAGUCCAACAGGGUCAGAUAUUAUCACAAGCCACAAGGUAUGCUGUCAAUUAAAGCAUAUAAUCUACAAGGUUAGGUAAGAUCAAUUUCUGUGAAAAAGAAAGAUAAAACUCUGAAGA
rnacentral:lncRNA from 1 species